GCUAAUACCGGAUAACAACAGAUGAUGCCUAUCAACUGUUUAAAAGAAUGGUUCUGCUAUCACUCUUGGAUGGACCUGCGGUGCAUUAGCUAGUUGGUAGGGUAACGGCCUACCAAGGCGAUGAUGCAUAGCCGAGUUGAGAGACUGAUCGGCCACAUUGGGACUGAGACACGGCCCAAAACUCCUACGGGAGGCAGCAGUC
rnacentral:rRNA from 1 species